rnacentral:rRNA from 1 species
UACGAAGGGGGCGAGCGUUGCUCGGAAUGACUGGGCGUAAAGGGCGCGUAGGCGGCUUACAUAGUUAGGCGUGAAAUUCCUGGGCUUAACCUGGGGACUGUGUCUAAUACAUGUAGGCUUGAGUGUGAAAGAGGGUCGUGGAAUUUCCAGUGUAGAGGUGAAAUUCGUAGAUAUUGGAAAGAACACCGGUGGCGAAGGCGGCGACCUGGUUCAUUACUGACGCUGAGGCGCGAAAGCGUGGGGAGCAAACAGG